rfam:Helianthus annuus linkage group 8, whole genome shotgun sequence.
AAGCCAAUGAUGAUGUAAAUUAAAAAAUGUUGGAAUUACCGACUGAAUUUGUUUUGAUGAUAACUAGGCUGCCUGAGGCUUUUU